rnacentral:rRNA from 1 species
ACUCCUACGGGAGGCAGCAGGAUCCAGCCAUGCCGCGUGUGUGAAGAAGGUCUUCGGAUUGUAAAGCACUUUAAGUUGGGAGGAAGGGCAUUAACCUAAUACGUUAGUGUUUUGACGUUACCGACAGAAUAAGCACCGGCUAACUUCGUGCCAGCAGCCGCGGUAAUACGAAGGGUGCAGCCAGCAGCCGCGGUA